rnacentral:rRNA from 1 species
GAUGAACGCUGGCGGCGUGCUUAACACAUGCAAGUCGAACGGUGAAGUCGGAGCUUGCUCUGCUGGGUCAGUGGCGAACGGGUGAGUAACCCGUGAGCACUCUGCCACUGACUCUGGGAUAAGCGCUGGACACGGCGUCUAAUCCUGGAUACGAGCUGCGAAGGCAUCUUCAGCAGCUGGACAGAACUUCGGUCAGGGAUGAGAUCGCGGCCUAUCAGCUUGUUGGUGAGGUAACGGCUCACCAGGGCGUCGACGGGUAGCCGGGCUGAGAGGGGGAGCGGACACACUAGAACGGAGACGAGACCCAGACUCCUACGGGACGCAGGGGAGCGGAAUAUAGCACAAUGGGCGAAAGCCUGAUGCAGCAACGCCGCGUGGGGGACGACGUCCAUCGGGUUGGAAACCUCUUUUAUCAGGGAAGAAGCGAAAGUGACGGUACCUGCAGAAAAAGCGCCGGCUAACUACGUG